GCUGCUUUCGUAUAAUUGGCUAUUACACAUCCCUUGUAAGGAUGGAAAUGCAGGUUCGAGUCCUGUGAGCAGCACCACCAC
rnacentral:tRNA from 1 species